GACGAACGCUGGCGGCGUGCCUAACACAUGCAAGUCGAGCGGAGUCGAUCGACGGAAGCCUUCGGGCGGAAGAUGGUUGACUUAGCGGCGGAUGGGUGGGUAACGCGUGGGCAACCUGCCUCGAAGACCGGGAUAACAGCCCGAAAGGGCUGCUAAUACCGGAUGUGGUCAAGGAUCCGCAUGGAUUUUUGAUUAAAGGGGAAACCCGUUUCGAGAUGGGCCCGCGUCCUAUCAGCUAGUUGGUGAGGUAAAAGCUCACCAAGGCGACGACGGGUAGCCGGCCUGAGAGGGUGACCGGCCACACUGGAACUGAGACACGGUCCAGACUCCUACGGGGGCAGCAGUGGGGAAUCUUCCACAAUGGGCGAAAGCCUGAUGGAGCGACGCCGCGUGAGCGAAGAAGGCCUUCGGGUUGUAAAGCUCUGUCUGGAGGGACGAAGGAAGUGACGGUACCUCCGGAGGAAGCCACGGCUAACUACGUG
rnacentral:rRNA from 1 species